GCGCGGGUGCUGGAAUUGGUAGACUGGCCAGCUUGAGGGGCUGGUGGCCGCAAGGCCGUGGAGGUUCGAGUCCUCUCCCGCGCACCG
rnacentral:tRNA from 2 species